rnacentral:rRNA from 1 species
UACGUAGGGUGCAAGCGUUGUCCGGAAUUACUGGGCGUAAAGGGCUCGUAGGCGGCCAACUAAGUCAUACGUGAAAUCCCUCGGCUUAACCGGGGAACUGCGUCUGAUACUGGAUGGCUUGAGAUUGGGAGAGGGAUGCGGAAUUCCAGGUGUAGCGGUGAAAUGCGUAGAUAUCUGGAGGAACACCGGUGGCGAAGGCGGCAUCCUGGACCAACACUGACGCUGAGGAGCGAAAGCCAGGGGAGCAAACGGG